AUAUACUUUUAUUUAUAUUAUAUUGGUUUUUUCAUUAAUAUUAAGGUGUACAUAGAUACUUUUAAUUAUCUAAAAAAUUUGUUUAGUUACAAUUGCCACGCAUACAAUCGCCGUCUGCUCCGUCAAUAUGAUUUGUAUGACAAAUGUAUAGACACCCAGGAAAACCCCGUCCGUCCAAUAUCAAUUCAAUUCAAUCAAUUCAAUUCAAAUGCUACAGUUAUCAAUAGUCGGCCCAUGGACAUGUUGGACUGUCUCUGUCUCCAAAUCGGGUCUGUGUGGAUUGCCUUAAUCCUAGGCUAAGCAUGCAGUUCCAGUGGAUGUUUCAUUAGCUUCUGAUUUACACGUAUCAAUCGUCGGAUUUGUGUAUUAUGUACUCGGCAUCUCUAUAUUGGAAAUACAUAUCUAGUAGAUUCAUCUGCGUUACUUUGGUUUUAUCAUGUAAUUUUAGUUAUUAAUCGUAACAAUUGUAAGUGUAAUCAAAAUUAUAAAUUGUAUAUAAAAAUACAAAAUACAUACAUUAAUGGUUUAUAUCAAAUUCUCAUUUUAUUAUAGUUCACUUUGCGUUUAAUGUACACUUACAUACACAUGCUCGAUUAUGUGGUAUAUCUCUCGGGAGGCCUUCGAAUCCCCUCGCGAGUAAUUUGCCAAAUAUUUACAUACAACUGUCUGACUAUCGGUGCGUAUCAUAAAAUUAAGGAACCAAUCUAUCAAUCCAAAGCACAACAAUCUGGCCAUACACACAUGCUGAUAAUCUGAAUGUUUUGGGGCAUUUAACAGGCUCCAGUAGUGGUACAUAAAAAUCAAGUUUCGAGUACCCACUUGGAGUUUGUCCUAUAUAAAAUAUGGGUAUUCAUUAUGCUGGAAAGGCACAAAAUGCUAGGGAAAUCAUAUCGAAAUCGAUCAAUUUAUAGUGUGCGUAUGUGUGGCUGCAAAGUCGGAACAUUUUAUCAUUGAAACCGCCGAAAAACUCUUGUAUUUAAGGAUGGAAUUUUCGGAAGAAACAAAUAACAAAAUGUUAAGGAUCAAAAUAAAUGGGAGACUUUGUCUGCUCGCUGAUGCUGAUGCAAUUCAUUGGACGGAAAACUAUAUAUAUGUAUGUCAGUGUGUGAAUGUCUAUAAUGCCGUGGAUAUAAAAAACAUGCCAGGCCAAGCUCGGAGCUACCAAAUUGGAUGCCAGCUGUGAAUUUGUAUUCGCAUAUUCGCAAGAACCUAAACCGAUUCCAUAUCCAUACCGAUCGGGCCUCAAAACUCAUUGGCUUCUUCUCAUUGUGUUCUCUGCUACAUCUUUUAAAAUACACAUUGACUUAUUGAAGCUUUUUAAAAGCUAAUCCAUUGGUUAAUCAUAAAAAUGGUUUAAUUACUUUACUUUUACUUUCACUAGAUGUGGUUACGAGGAUUAAAGCUUUAUACAACACACUGUUGAAUCGUACUUAAACUAAGAUGCGUCUUGGUUUUUGGUUAUUCGCGGACAUAGGAUUCUCAAUUGUCCACUCCCGUGGGUAGAGUCUUCCGCUUGGAGUUGUGGCAAAGUGUCUACUCCUCUGUGGCCCCGAGGGAACUAAACUCCAAGUGAUGGGGAUGUGGGUUGAGGGAAUCUCGCUCGGUUGAACAAAAUAAGUGUACUCUAAAUUAUGAAAAACAUUUUGCUUCAUAUUUAUUUUACAUACAUGUACGUUUCAAUUGUUUUCCAUUUUAUUUAUUUUUUGUUUCCACAUAUGCGUAGAGUAGAAUUGUUUUUAUUUGGAUUUUUACAUAAAUAAUUUGUUGAUGGGGUUUUCUAUUUAUGUGCGUCUCAUUUAGUUAUCCUUGUAUAUUAAAUUAAACUAAAAUUAUAAAAACAAAAACAAAACACUGGACCCGCUCGGCAGACCUCGCCGUUUUGGCUAGCCGCCAAAAGCGAGUCCCUUGUUGCAUACAUUAAGAUCUAUAAAAUAAGCAAACAACUAACAAAGUUAAUGUAAAAAUUACGAAAA
rnacentral:sRNA from 13 species